rnacentral:rRNA from 1 species
CCUACGGGUGGCUGCAGUGAGGAAUAUUGGUCAAUGGGCGGGAGCCUGAACCAGCCAAGCCGCGUGAGGGAAGAAGGUACAGCGUAUCGUAAACCUCUUUAGGCGGGGAGCAAUGCCGGGCACGCGUGCCCGGAGGGAGAGUACCCGCAGAAUAAGCAUCGGCUAACUCCGUGCCAGCAGCCGCGGUAAUACGGAGGAUGCUAGCGGUAUCCGGAUUUAUGGGGGUUAAAGGGUGCGUAGGCGGAUUUUUAAGUCAGCGGUAAAAUGUCCGGGCUCAACCCGGGCCGGCGGGUGAAACUGGGGAUCUUGAGUGGGCGAGAAGUAUGCGGAAUGCGUGGUGUAGCGGUGAAAGGCAUAGAUAGCACGCAGAACUCCGAUUGCGAAGGCAGCAUACCGGCGCCCGACUGACGCUGAGGCACGAAAGCGUGGGGAUCGAACAGGAUUAGAUACCCUUGUAGUC